GUGGUGAUGGCAAUAAUUCAGGAUUUUGGGUUUUUGACUCUCGGGAACUCGGUCGGUCUUCUCUCGGGCAUGUUUGGUCCCAGAGUGUUCUAGCACCAACUCGACAUAGCUCGGUUAGAGGCGGAGCUUGUUCGAUUAGUAGUAAGCGCAUGGGAAAAAUGCGUGCAGAAGCUUUUUCGUGUUCCAGGUCAGGAAUCUCACACUUGGAAGUUGGGUCUCUUUGGAACAUGGAGUCAAAGUUUGUUCUUUUGGUGGGCCUCUUUGUGGUACUACCUGUCGUUGAUUGCUCUCGUGCCGAUUUGAAGGUGGUGAAUGCAAGUGCACACACUGGUUUGGACCCCAAAAUUGCUCUUCUCUGGAAUGAAACGGAUGCUUCAAAUGAGAAUACAGGUAGAUCGAGCUUGGUUUUGAAUUCUACUAAAUUUGGCAAGGUAAAAAUAGUGGAGACCAAGUGGAUGGAUCAAAGAAGGGUCUUGUUGUUGAGAAGGGGAAGGGUGGGAGGAAUUCAAGCGGGCAAUCAUCGUCGACCAAAGCUGAUGAUGUGCAAAAGGGCGAGGGCAGGGCGAGUGAGGAAUCAAAAGGGAAGGAGGGUGAUGAUGAAAAAGACAUUGAAUCCAAGGAUGUGGCUAGGAAGGUGGGCAACGAAGGGGAUGUGGUCUCUUCCACGUCAGGGAGGAAUGAGGGUUCUCGGGGUGAAGAAUGUGAUAUAUCGAAUAGGUGCACGGACGAGGAUCACAAGUUGGUUGCAUGUUUGAGAGUUCCAGGGGACGGCUCAAUUAUGUUGGAAUUCCUUUAACCUUGUAUUUAUUGGAAUUGAUGUUAAUUUUUCUGAAUGUAAUGGUGUUGGAAAUUGGUCAGAAUCUCCAGAUCUGUUACUUUUAAUUCAGAACAAAGGAAAAGGCCCCCUUGUUGCUACCAUCUCUGCUCCUGAUUUUGUCCUGCUAGAGGAAAGAAAAGUUCAAAUUCAAGAGAAAGGACACAAAAAGGUAAAGGUUUCUAUCAUAGAAGGAGGAACUGACAGUUUGAUCAUCUUAACAGCAGGAAGUGGCAAUUGCAGCCUUGAUAUUAGGGAUCUGAUUGCACACAAUUCCAGGGGUUUGGCAAUACCCCUAAGCUUGCUUUUAUAAGCUUCAUGAAACGAAGCCCUACCACUGCACUAGUCUUAUUUGCUUCACUACUGAUACUGGUAUCAGCUUGGACGUGCAUCAGCUUCAAGCGGAGGCAUUUUUCAGGAAAUGGCUCCAAAUAUCAAAAGAUAGAAAUGGAGCUUCCAGUUUGCAUUGUGGAAAAAUCAGAGGCAGACUCUACUGAAGGUUGGGAUAACAGUUGGGGUGAUGGCUGGAAUGAUGAGGAGGCACCAAGGACACCACCAAUGCCCCAUACUCCAAGCCUCUCAGCCAAAGGCUUGGCUUCACGUCGAUUGAACAAAGAAGGCUGGAGAGAUUAGUUGCAUUAGUGUUGACAUAACACUAGAAUGGGAGAAACGGGGAAGAGUGUGAUAGGUAAAUUUUGUUCGUAUAAUAUGCACUUCCUUCAAGCCUAUUGAUUUUUUCACUUUCCCCGGCGGAAAAAGAACUCCCAAGGAAAGUUCAUAUACUUAAUUUGCUUGUUUAUGGUAUGCUUUAUGGGAUUACACCCUUUAGCCUUCUGGCCAUUUUCCUAUU